rnacentral:rRNA from 1 species
AGUGAACGCUGGCGGUAGGCCUAACACAUGCAAGUCGAACGGCAGCACAGAGGAGCUUGCUCCUUGGGUGGCGAGUGGUGGACGGGUGAGGAAUACAUCGGAAUCUACUCUGUCGUGGGGGAUAACGUAGGGAAACUUAAGCUAAUACCGCAUACGACCUACGGGUGAAAGCAGGGGAUCUUCGGACCUUGCGCGAUUGAAUGAGCCGAUGUCGGAUUAGCUAGUUGGCGGGGUAAAGGCCCACCAAGGCGACGAUCCGUAGCUGGUCUGAGAGGAUGAUCAGCCACACUGGAACUGAGACACGGUCCAGACUCCUACGGGAGGCAGCAGUGGGGAAUAUUGGACAAUGGGCGCAAGCCUGAUCCAGCCAUACCGCGUGGGUGAAGAAGGCCUUCGGGUUGUAAAGCCCUUUUGUUGGGAAAGAAAUCCAUCUGGUUAAUACCCGGGUGGGAUGACGGUACCCAAAGAAUAAGCACCGGCUAACUUCGUGCCAGCAGCCGCGGUAA